UUUUCCCUGCGGUGAGUCGAUUAAGUGGCACCCAUUCCUUUGAACCAAUAAAGUUCGCUUUGGGCGAUAAUAUAAAUUGAUGGGCGUGAUCGCUUCUUUAUUGUUAGUGAACCCGAAAUCAAUUUUCAGUUUGCCCACCUUUUCAACAAGGUUCAAGCGAAUAUCGCCACUUACGCCACCUGCGGGGAAUUC
rnacentral:other from 1 species